rnacentral:rRNA from 1 species
GUAGGGUGCAAGCGUUAAUCGGAAUUACUGGGCGUAAAGCGUGCGCAGGCGGUUUUGUAAGUCUGUCGUGAAAGCCCCGGGGCUUAACCUGGGGAAUUGCGAUGGAGACUGCAAGGCUUGAAUCUGGCAGAGGGGGGUAGAAUUCCACGUGUAGCAGUGAAAUGCGUAGAGAUGUGGAGGAACACCGAUGGCGAAGGCAGCCCCCUGGGUCAAGAUUGACGCUCAUGCACGAAAGCGUGGGGAGCAAACAGGAUUAGAUACCCUGGUAGUCCACGCCCUAAACGAUGUCUACUAGUUGUCGGGUCUUAAUUGACUUGGUAACGCAGCUAACGCGUGAAGUAGACCGCCUGGGGAGUACGGUCGCAAGAUUA